GCCUUCUCAGGCUCGCACCUGGAGAGUUUCCAGUACUCUACCAGCCUCGACAACGGGAGGGAGAGUCAAGCAGAGGCAUAUCCAUUCCAUUCCUAGCUGGGGCAGCGGCUAGAGAGUGGAAGGCAAUCCGCUACAAGU